GCUGCUGGCUGGGUGAGGGGAAAGAACCAGUCUUCCGAUCGCCUGGCCGCACCGGCCGUCUCAGAUGCCGAUUGGCUCGCGGGAUUUGAAGGGCUAACACCCGUUUCGUGACAGCAUUUAUCACUUCAUAACAUGAAAUGUUAUGUUAAUGAAUAUCAGAAGUGAAGUGAGUACUGGGGAGAAAUGCUCAUUGUCAUUAGAGGCCGAACCACAAGUGAGGACUUGGUCACCAUCACACAAAGGUUUGGGGCACUGUGUAUUCUGUCCUCUGCUUUGGACCAUGAGCCCAUCCAGUGAUGACUGCAUGGCAGCCCUGGAGUGCGUGACACCCAUGGUGAGAGCAUCUGAUUCCACCCAAAUAGGGAGACUCAGACCCCAGCCUCCAGCCAGAACCCCUGUCUUCCCUCUGGAGACCAUCUUUGCAGAAGGGUGUGCAGAGCAGCAAUUGAGAAGCUUCUUACCCAGCCCCCACUGCUGUGA